UGUCCUCCAUAGGAGGUCUAUAUUGAGCAGAUUCUUUUUGGUAUUGGGUGGUGGAACUGGAGCGUGCUCCAUCCACUCCAUGCAUUGACCUGGUAUUGCAGUGCUUCCAGGACCGGUGC
ensembl:snRNA U2 U2 spliceosomal RNA